UUUGGAAUCGAGUGGCAAACGGGUGAGUAACACGUAAACAACCUGCCUUCAGGAUGGGGACAACAGACGGAAACGACUGCUAAUACCGAAUACGCUUGGAAGACCGCAUGAUCUUCCAAGGAAAGGGUGGCCUCUACCUGUAAGCUAUCGCCUGAAGAGGGGUUUGCGUCUGAUUAGGCAGUUGGUGAGGUAACGGCCCACCAAACCUACGAUCAGUAGCCGGUCUGAGAGGAUGAACGGCCACACUGGAACUGAGACACGGUCCAGACUCUACGGGAGGCAGCAGUGGGGAAUCUUCCGCAAUGGGCGAAAGUCUGACGGAGCAACGCCGCGUGAGUGAUGACGGCCUUCGGGUUGUAAAGCUCUGUGAUCGGGGACGAACGGUCCGUAAGCCAAUACCUUAUGGAAGUGACGGUACCCGAAUAGCAAGCCACGGCUAACUACGUGCCAGCAGCCGCGGUAAUACGUAGGUGGCAAGCGUUGUCCGGAAUUAUUGGGCGUAAAGCGCGCGCAGGCGGCUUUCUAAGUCCAUCUUAAAAGUGCGGGGCUUAACCCCGUGAUGGGAUGGAAACUGGAAAGCUGGAGUAUCGGAGAGGAAAGUGGAAUUCCUAGUGUAGCGGUGAAAUGCGUAGAGAUUA
rnacentral:rRNA from 1 species